UCGUCCAUCCUCCCACUCCCCGCUGGUUUUUCUGUCCCUUCCUUCCUAAUAGCGGGUCUUUUCCGUCCCUCCUAAAAUCUCGCGUUUAGUUUCUGUUCUCACCUCCUGUCUUUUUUCUCCCUCCUAAAAUUUUGUGGUUAGUUUCCAUCGGUAGACCACCGAUGGCUGCUCCCAAACCAUGGUCCAUGUCUAAAAUUUCGUGGUCCAUAUAUAUCCAGUUUCCCCUCGCGUACCCGUCGCUCCAUCGAGUCCUUUAGUAGAGAGACAACCCUGACGUUGGACAAUGGCAGCGGCGACAAGCCGAUCUGACAAAGGCUGCACCAUGGCAUCAAGGAGGAGAAGCAGACCGAUCGAAAGUUCAUCACUGGCUUCGACACGACGGACCUCACCGCCGCCAGAGACGCCCACGACAUCUCGCAAUGCCCAAGGCGACUUGUCGCCAACGCCGCCUUCAACAUCCUCUCCCGAGCACGCCCAGGCGGAGCUGUCUGCUGCUGCUGCUAAGUUUAGGAUUGUGAUGUAGGGGUUGAUAAAGCACGUUCAGGAAUAAGAGAUAUACGAGCCUCUGCUGCUGCUAAGUUCGCCGUCCGGAUGUGGGACACAUCACCGCAGGCUGGGUAAAUCGGGACGCUGCUCUGUACUCGCAUGUCAGCAUGAGGGACUUUUCCAUGCAAGAAAGAUUCAGACAAGGGGAUUUAUGUAUUUAGCGUGGUAACUGGUAUCUGAUACACACUUGCAAGUUGCAACAUGCGAAAACAUUGACCAAGAACAGCAGUACCUUCAGAAGUAUCAAGCAGCAGCUACUUUGAAGAGAACUAAGGGUUCGCGCCAUUUUCUGUAUAUUAGUUUACCGUCUAAUCAUAUCCUGAUCAAGUUUAUACA